rnacentral:sRNA from 1 species
CAGUGGAUGAGGUUAAGGGUUCCUGGGGUGGUUUAUUUGGUAUGUGAAGAGCCUAACUGUUGGCUGGCCCGUGGUGUUCUCCUGUGGUUCAUCAUGGAGGCUUCUGGGUCACAGAACCCACAUAUGAGAGGGCAUCGGGAUCUGGAUGAUGGGGUGGGAGAUGCUGGAUUGGUGGUUUGGUUCUCAGGUGGCUCCUAGAGGGGCCGCAGUAUGGAAACCACUGGCCUGCUCCUGCCUCUGAGAAAAUGAAGCUGGAGGAGAAGAUGUAAAGAUGUAUUUUUCCAAACUUGCGAUGUUUUAUACAGAAUCUUUCUUAGUGUUUCGCCAUAGUUAUUGAAGUGAGACUGGGCAUGAUUCAGAAAAGCUGGAAGAUCUAGAGAGGGAUCUUGCAAUCUGAAGUUUGUUUAGUCACUGGAGGACCACCGCCUACUUUAAGAGAGAACACAGACAAUUCACCUCCAUAAAGGCACAGCCAGGGAGAGGAGUAGGCAGAGGUGACAGCAGAUCAUGGGGCUUCUCUUGAAAGGAAGACACCUCCCAGUAACGAACCCUCAUCGUCCAUUUACUGACUUAUCCUUAUGUCACUAGGAUUUGAACGUCUAUGACACUCUUCCGAGCUGACACAGUGAAGAACAUGGAAGGAGAACUCACCCAGUCUGCCAGGGUCACAGAUGAUCAUACUCAAGAUCUUCCUGGGGAGUCAACGGCAAAUUUCA